GCCUGGGUGGCUCAGACGGUUAAGUGUCUGACUUUGGCUCAGGUCAUGAUCUCACAUUUCUUGGGUUCAAGCCCCACGUCAGGCU
rnacentral:tRNA from 1 species